GAUGAACGCUGGCGGCGUGCCUAAUACAUGCAAGUCGAGCGAACAGAUAAGGAGCUUGCUCCUUUGACGUUAGCGGCGGACGGGUGAGUAACACGUGGGUAACCUACCUAUAAGACUGGGAUAACUUCGGGAAACCGGAGCUAAUACCGGAUAAUAUUUCGAACCGCAUGGUUCGAUAGUGGAAGAUGGUUUUGCUAUCACUUAUAGAUGGACCCGCGCCGUAUUAGCUAGUUGGUAAGGUAACGGCUUACCAAGGCGACGAUACGUAGCCGACCUGAGAGGGUGAUCGGCCACACUGGAACUGAGACACGGUCCAGACUCCUACGGGAGGCAGCAGUAGGGAAUCUUCCGCAAAGGGCGAAAGCCUGACGGAGCAACGCCGCGUGAGUGAUGAAGGUCUUCGGAUCGUAAAACUCUGUUAUUAGGGAAGAACAUACGUGUAAGUAACUGUGCACGUCUUGACGGUACCUAAUCAGAAAGCCACGGCUAACUACGUG
rnacentral:rRNA from 1 species